AGUGAACGCUGGCGGUAGGCCUAACACAUGCAAGUCGAACGGCAGCACAGUAAGAGCUUGCUCUUACGGGUGGCGAGUGGCGGACGGGUGAGGAAUACAUCGGAAUCUACUUUUUCGUGGGGGAUAACGUAGGGAAACUUACGCUAAUACCGCAUACGACCUACGGGUGAAAUCAGGGGAUCUUCGGACCUUGCGCGUUUGAAUGAGCCGAUGUCGGAUUAGCUAGUUGGCGGGGUAAAGGCCCACCAAGGCGACGAUCCGUAGCGGGUCUGAGAGGAUGAUCAGCCACACUGGAACUGAGACACGGUCCAGACUCCUACGGGAGGCAGCAGUGGGGAAUAUUGGACAAUGGGCGCAAGCCUGAUCCAGCCAUACCGCGUGAGUGAAGAAGGCCUUCGGGUUGUAAAGCCCUUUUGUUGGGAAAGAAAAGCAGCAGGUUAAAACCCCGCUGUUCUGACGGUACCCAAAGAAUAAGCACCGGCUAACUUCGUG
rnacentral:rRNA from 1 species